AUGAGCUUCCUCGGGGAGAACAUCGACGAGUACGACGCGGACUUGGGCUUCUGCUGCUUGGUGCCCCUGGGGGUGGCCGGCGGCGUGUCGGUGGAGGUGGCCGCCAUGCAGUUGAUGGACGGCGCCUUGUGGCGCGCGAAGGCAGGCGCGUUGGCCGUGGACGUCGAGGCGCGCGCCGACUGGUACUGGGAGGAGGAGGAGGAGACGCUGAGCGGCGACGGGGAGGACGCCUGCUUCGCGCUCGCGCUCCGCCGGAGCACUGGCGCGCCGUCUUCCGCCGGUGGAGCCCUACGCUGCUUCGGCCUGAAGACUAUACGACUUCAUUUCUUAGAGGAGAUGGAGAGGGCGACGCGAUGGAUUUUUAGUUAUAAGCGUGGCGCCGCGCUAGGAGGUAGGGAGGAGACAAAGGGCCCCAUAUGA
rnacentral:rRNA from 1 species